rnacentral:snoRNA from 1 species
UUUCCCAUAUGACUACCACAUUUUCUUAUAAUAAUAGACUUUAGUGGCUAUGCUUAUGGGAUAGAUUAAAAUUGCCAUGAUCUGAAGAGGGAGGAUUUUCAAAGUGUUCUCCUUCUAUAUGAAAUGGCUGAACAAAAAAUC